AGUUACUAUGUGUAUUACGGAAAUAAGAGUGGGAAGACUGUUGUGCCCAAGAUUGCGAAUCCGAGAAACCACCGAGACGCCGACAGCGAUGAAAACACACGAGGGUUUACUUACAAGCUCGAGCUUGUGUCCAAUUAUACCCGACAGAGCGGAGCAGGGAGUUGGACCCCGAAACUGUUGUGCCCAAGAUUGCGAAUCUGAGAAAUCACCGAGAAGCCAAC